rnacentral:lncRNA from 1 species
AUGGGACAAGCAACUUAUUCCUACAUAGAAAAACAUGCUAACCAUGGAAGAAGCACAGCCCAACUGAACAGGAUUAAGAGGAUUCAAUAAUUUCCCUGAAAGGCUGAACUGGAAAGCUGACAUUGAAGCCAUAUCAGAAUACAAAACAGUUUAUGGUAUUCCCAGUUUACAUUUCCGCUCUCCUGUCCACUUAGUGAAAUCCAGGCCUGGCUUGGGACGAUUCUCUGAUCCAUGGCCAUCCACUGCAAGGCAGACAAGUCCUCUGCUGUUAGCCACUGUUGCUUCAGGGACACCAGAGCUUCCAGGCUCAGGACUUUUAGAUUUUUCAAACCCAAAUCAGUCAGUCAGUCAGUCAACAUUCAUUAAAUGCCUGCUAAGUGCUCAGGAGACAAAAAGAGGCAAAAGACAGUGCCUGCUCUCGAAGAGCUUACAAUCUGAGGGGAAGAACACAUGUAAACAAAGCAAGCUGAUAUUUAGGAUAAAGAGAAAAUAAUUAACAGAGGGAAGGUCGUGGAAUUAAGAGGGGUUGUUUCCUGUAGAUGGUGGAUUUUCGUUGGGACAUAAAGGAAGUCCAGGAGAUUAGUGGUUGGGUCAAAGAAAGAAGAGGAUUUGUUUCAGGCACAGUGGGACAGCCAAACAGACAGAAUGGCCCUAGCCAAGAGAUGGAGUAUCUUGUUUAUGGAACAGCCAGGAGGCUAACGUUGUUGCUGGAUUGAGGAGUACAUGUCUGGGGGUAAAGUCUAAGGUGACUGGAAAGAAGCAACACUCCAUCUCAUUGCCAUUGUUAUGGGCGGAGAAGACCCAGGAGCCACUUCAAGUUUGCCACAUCAUUCUCAGAGCCAAGUCCUUUCAGCACUGGUCCAUCACUGGGCCAGAUAAAGGCAGGAAGUUCAUUCUCCCCCAAAGCCCAAGCAAUGAAUACAAACCUUUGGAAGGCUCAGUAACUUUCCAGGGGAUCUCUAGGCUCAGGCUUCUUUGCAUGGCCCUCUCUUUCCGGCUGGUUCAUUUAGCCUGUACCCUGGAGCUUCAUAUCCCAACACAAUACUCUCUAGGGUUUAGGAUUAUAACCCCAAAGAGCUCCAGGGGUGUCUUUUCUAAUGACUGUAACUCACAAAUGGUUCUUUCUAUGAUCAUUUAGCUGAUAUGUCAGCUAGACUUAAUUAACUUUUGUUGUUCAGUUGUUUCCAGGAGAAUAUAACUUUCUGACCCCAUUUGAGGUUUUCUUGGCAAAGAUCCUGGAGUGGUUUGCCAGCCCCAUUUUAUAGAUGAGGAAACUGAGGCAAACAGGGUUAAGUGACUUGCCCAGGGUCUCACCUCAGAUUUAUGGCAGUUGGGAUCCUGGGCAAGUCACUUAAUCUUUCUCAGACUCAAUUUUCCUACCUGUACAAUGGAGAUAAUAAUAAAGAUAAUAAUGACAAUUACCUCUCCA